GAAAAAAUGUUUCAAUUGAAAAGUUUAAAUUCAAGCUAUUUAUUAAAUUUAAGCAACAAAUGUAAAUGCUUGUAAAAUACUGUAAAAAGUGAAUUCUUGACUGGCAGUCAAGAGGUCGUGGGUUCGAGCCCCAUCUUCUCCACCA
rnacentral:tRNA from 1 species